rnacentral:rRNA from 1 species
AGAGUUUGAUCAUGGCUCAGAACGUACGCUGGCGGCACGCCUAACACAUGCAAGUCGAACGAAGUAGCAAUACUUAGUGGCAGACGGGUGAGUAACAUGUAGGUAUCUACCCUUUGGCCUGGAAUAACACGAGGAAACUUGUGCUAAUACCGGAUAAGUCUUUACGGAGAAAGCUUUAUGCACCAUUGGAUGAGCCUGCACUUGAUUAGUUUGUUGGUAGGGUAAUGGCCUACCAAGACUUUGAUCAAUAGCUGAUUUGAGAGGAUGAUCAGCCACAUUGGGACUGAGACACGGCCCAAACUCCUACGGGAGGCAGCAGUGGGGAAUCUUGCACAAUGGAGGAAACUCUGAUGCAGCGAUGCCGCGUGAGUGAAGAAGGCCCUUGGGUUGUAAAGCUCUUUCGUCGGGGAAGAAAAUGACUGUACCCGAAUAAGAAGGUCCGGCUAACUUCGUGCCAGCAGCCGCGGUAAUACGAAGGGACCUAGCGUAGUUCGGAAUUACUGGGCUUAAAGAGUUCGUAGGUGGUUGAAAAAGUUGGUGGUGAAAUCCCAGAGCUUAACUCUGGAACUGCCAUCAAAACUUUUCAGCUAGAGUUUGAUAGAGGAAAGCAGAAUUUCUAGUGUAGAGGUGAAAUUCGUAGAUAUUAGAAAGAAUACCAAUUGCGAAGGCAGCUUUCUGGAUCAUUACUGACACUGAGGAACGAAAGCAUGGGUAGCGAAGAGGAUUAGAUACCCUCGUAGUCCAUGCCGUAAACGAUGUGUGUUAGACGUUGGAAAUUUAUUUUCAGUGUCGCAGCGAAAGCGAUAAACACACCGCCUGGGGAGUACGACCGCAAGGUUAAAACUCAAAUGAAUUGACGGGGACCCGCACAAGUAGUGGAGCAUGUGGUUUAAUUCGAAGAUACGCGCAGAACCUUACCAACACUUGACAUGUUCGUCGCGACUUUAAGAGAUUAAAGUUUUCGGUUCGGCCGGACGAAACACAGGUGCUGCAUGGCUGUCGUCAGCUCGUGUCGUGAGAUGUUGGGUUAAGUCCCGCAACGAGCGCAACCCUCACUUUUAGUUGCCAUCAUUUAGUUGGGCACUCUGAAAGAACUGCCAGUGAUAAGCUGGAGGAAGGUGGGGAUGACGUCAAGUCCUCAUGGCCCUUACGUGUUGGGCUACACACGUGCUACAAUGGUAUCUACAACAGGAAGCAAAACGGCGACGUUAAGCAAAUCCUCAAAAGAUACCUCAGUUCGGAUUGCACUCUGCAACUCGAGUGCAUGAAGCUGGAAUUACUAGUAAUCGUGGAUCAGCGUGCCACGGUGAAUGCGUUCCCGGGUCUUGUACACACCGCCCGUCACACCAUGGGAGUUGGUUCUACCUUAAGGCAAGGUUUAAAACCCUUGACCACGGUAUAGUCAGCGACUGGGGUGAAGUCGUAACAAGGUAGCCGUAGGGGAACCUGCGGCUG